UACGUAGGGGGCAAGCGUUGUCCGGAAUCAUUGGGCGUAAAGCGCGUGUAGGCGGCCCAGUAAGUCCGCUCUGAAAGCCCGGGGCUCAACCCCGGGAGGCGGGUGGAUACUGCUGGGCUCGAGUCCGGAAGAGGCGAGUGGAAUUCCUGGUGUAGCGGUGAAAUGCGCAGAUAUCGGGAGGAACACCUAUGGCGAAGGCAGCUCGCUGGGACGUUACUGACGCUGAGACGCGAAAGCGUGGGGAGCAAACAGG
rnacentral:rRNA from 1 species